UCCUUUUUAUACAGCCUGGGACUGAAGCCU
rnacentral:piRNA from 1 species